rnacentral:piRNA from 1 species
UAGAAAGCCUGUCAAGUGUUAUUCACAG